UACGUAGGGGGCUAGCGUUGUCCGGAAUCAUUGGGCGUAAAGCGCGCGUAGGCGGCCCGGUAAGUCCGCUGUGAAAGUCCAGGGCUCAACCCUGGAACGCCGGUGGAUACUGUCGGGCUAGAGUCCGGAAGAGGCGAGUGGAACUCCUGGUGUAGCGGUGGAAUGCGCAGAUAUCAGGAAGAACACCAACGGCGAAGGCAGCUCGCUAGGACGGUACUGACGCUGAGACGCGAAAGCGUGGGGAGCGAACAGG
rnacentral:rRNA from 1 species